rnacentral:rRNA from 1 species
UAGAGUUUGAUCCUGGCUCAGAUUGAACGCUGGCGGCAUGCCUAACACAUGCAGGUCGAACGGUAACGCGGGGGCAACCCUGGCGACGAGUGGCGGACGGGUGAGUAAUACGUAGGAAUCUGCCCAUUUGUGGGGGAUAACCCGGCGAAAGCCGGGCUAAUACCGCAUACGCUCUACGGAGGAAAGCAGGGGAUCGUAAGACCUUGCGCUAAUGGAUGAGCCUACGUCGGAUUAGCUAGUUGGUAGGGUAACGGCCUACCAAGGCGACGAUCCGUAGCUGGUCUGAGAGGACGAUCAGCCACACUGGGACUGAGACACGGCCCAGACUCCUACGGGAGGCAGCAGUGGGGAAUAUUGGACAAUGGGGGCAACCCUGAUCCAGCAAUGCCGCGUGUGUGAAGAAGGCCUGCGGGUUGUAAAGCACUUUCAGAGGGGAAGAAAAAAUCGGAGCUAACAUCUCCGAGCUUGACGUUACCCUUAGAAGAAGCACCGGCUAACUACGUGCCAGCAGCCCCGGUCAA